UCUUUGAAACUUGUUUGUCAACUCAACAUUUGUUUAUCAACAUUCUUUGCUGGCCCGAUAAAGUGUGAUUGUUAGUGAACAAACAUCAGUUGUGUGCAUGGUUUCAUCUCUAGUGUUUCUCAACGUGUGUGCAUCAGGCUAUACCUAGCCCCAUUGGGAUCCUGCAAAUCGGGCCGUAUUUGACAUAUGGGAUCCGCUUCAGGGUCCACGGACCGAUCGUCGGCGAACAAUGGACUACCUUUAAAGCCAUCUGGUUUCUUCAGUUUCGCAACGAUGGACUCGCGCCCGGCGACGCUGUUACCACUGGCGAAUGUGCAUUGAAUUUCACUCACUUGUCCGGGCAUCUGAUGUUCUACCCGCAAAGCAAUGGGGUACAGCGUCUGAACCCGUCCUACCAGGAUAACCGUUCUUACAUCAGAUGAUAAGUAUCGAAAUUCUUUAUCAUUUGCAUGCAUAGCGUUUGUGAUUAAUAUACGGAUUGGACAGAAAUAUUACAUUUUUGGCGUUUGAAGGAAUGCUAGGAUAACCGUAGAUUUUGUAAUUCUUUAUCGCUUUAUCAUUUAUUUGUUACGAUCCACUAUUUUUUACUGCGUUUGCUGUGUACGAUUUUGUUAAGUUCAAAAAUAUUAACAAUUAGUUCCUUUUGUACCAAAUAACAAGUUUCCAGGAAAUAAUUUCAGCAUUUAAUGUUGGUAGCUUUGGAACAAUUUCCUGCAAGAAGAACUACUAAUCAUAGUUUGUACCGCCGCUACUAGGUGUUGCUAGCUCGCAUUUAACUUACAGGUGUUAAUCAUUCGUUUGGUGUUUCGAAAGUAGAUGGCGCAAGUAUCGGAAGUUUUGUUUUGCAACUCUCAUUUUGUUCGUACGCUGACGUUGUUUGUGGACGUGUUUGGUUGGUCGAUCUUCGUAUAGAUUUUUGAUUUGGCUCCGCAGAAAUUUUGUCGAGUGCGCUAGGAGUACCAAAACUGGGGCUCAUAGUUUAGCGAUGCUUGUAUGUAAACAAUUUUUGUUGCGUUUACCGAACGUAUCGCGCAAUACUGAUAAUGUCCUCGUGUUGUCGCUGUUGACUGUGUGCAGUUCCAUACCGGCAGUCGGGUGUAUCGCGUGUGUUCAUCGCGACUAGUCUUGUUUCUUCAGAUCAUAAUUAAGUUAAUUGACUUACAUUUGUUAAACAAAUUGAUGGCUAUAUACCAGAAUCGGGCGCUUUACUUCGGCGCUCGUAUGUCCGUCGGCAAUCGGUUUUCUUUUUGCACAUAAAAAUAAGUUGGAGUUGUGAUUAAUUCGUGCAAGUAGGCAACGCUGGUGCCCAGGGAAGAAGUUUAUGAGUACCUAAACCAUGGAGCUUGAAAUAUCUAAAGCGGAAGUGUUGGAGAUGUGCAUAUUUAAGGCAAGUCUUCUAUGCUGCAGAAUUUACGUGCGGUCGAUAUUUUUUUAUUUAAAAAAAUGUAUAUUACUAAAUGUUGUUAAUAAAAUACAAUAUCACUACAUAGUAUAAAGUAAAGUCGCUUUUUUUUCCGGUCCCUUUGUAUGCUUAAAUUUUUGAAACUACGCAACGGAUUUUGAUGCGGUUUUUUUUAAUAGAUAGAGUGAUUCAAGACGAAGGUUUGUAUGUAUAAUAACAUCCAUUAAAUAGUGGAGAAGUACUGUUAUUUCUAAUAUGAUAUUAUCGCCGUCUACUCUUUGUGCGAUGCUUCGUAGCUUCCCCCUCCAAGCAUAGACGUGUGUAUGUGUGUACGUGUGGGUUGAAGUUGACCGGUUGAUGUUUUUGUUUGGAGAAGGAAAGUCGCUUUCUCUGUCUGUCUCUUUGUAUGCUUAAAUCAUUGAAACUACGCAACGGAUUUUGAUGCGGUUUUUUACUUCCGUGCGAAGCCGGGGCAG